GAAGGUGUAGUCCAGUGGUAGAGUGCAUGCCUACCAAGCAUGAGGUCCUGGGUUCAAUCCCCAGUAGCUACA